GUUCCGUUAGCCAAGUGGUAAGGCAAGGAUUUGCAAAACCCUCAUGCGUCGUUUCGAUUCCGACACGGAACU
rnacentral:tRNA from 1 species